rnacentral:SRP_RNA from 1 species
AGUCGGUCUCCCUGGUGGCGAUAAAUUGUGAACCCGGUCAGGUCCGGAAGGAAGCAGCCGCAGCAUCAAAUCGGGUGCCGGGGUCGGGCGGGCUGG